rnacentral:rRNA from 1 species
UUCCUACGGGGGGCAGCAGUGGGGAAUAUUGGACAAUGGGGGCAACCCUGAUCCAGCAAUGCCGCGUGUGUGAAGAAGGCCUUCGGGUUGUAAAGCACUUUAGUUUGGGAGGAAGUUAUGUAGUUUAAGAGACAGCAUAAUUGACUGUACCGAAAGAAUAAGCACCGGCUAACUCUGUGCCAGCAGCCGCGGUAAUACAGAGGGUGCAAGCGUUAAUCGGAGUUACUGGGCGUAAAGGGCGCGUAGGCGGUGUUAUAAGAUUGAUGUGAAAUCCCUGGGCUUAACCUAGGAACGGAAUCGAUGACUGUAACGCUAGAGUAUUGUAGAGGGUAGGGGAAUUUCCGGUGUAGCGGUGAAAGGCGUAGAGAUCGGAAGGAACACCAGUGGCGAAGGCGGCUACCUGGACAAAUACUGACGCUGAGGCGCGAGAGCGUGGGGAGCAAACAGGAUUAGAUACCCCGGUAGUC